GACGAACGCUGGCGGCGUGCCUAAUACAUGCAAGUUGAGCGCUGAAGGUUGGUACUUGUACCAACUGGAUGAGCAGCGAACGGGUGAGUAACGCGUGGGGAAUCUGCCUUUGAGCGGGGGACAACAUUUGGAAACGAAUGCUAAUACCGCAUAAAAACUUUAAACACAAGUUUUAAGUUUGAAAGAUGCAAUUGCAUCACUCAAAGAUGAUCCCGCGUUGUAUUAGCUAGUUGGUGAGGUAAAGGCUCACCAAGGCGAUGAUACAUAGCCGACCUGAGAGGGUGAUCGGCCACAUUGGGACUGAGACCCGGCCCAAACUCCUACGGGAGGCAGCAGUAGGGAAUCUUCGGCAAUAGACGAAAGUCUGACCGAGCAACGCCGCGUGAGUGAAGAAGGGUUUCGGAUCGUAAAACUCUGUUGGUAGAGAAGAACGUUGGUGAGAGUGGAAAGCUCAUCAAGUGACGGUAACUACCCAGAAAGGGACGGCUAACUACGUG
rnacentral:rRNA from 1 species